GACGAACGCUGGCGGCGUGCCUAAUACAUGCAAGUCGAACGCUGAAGGAGGAGCUUGCUUCUCCGGAUGAGUUGCGAACGGGUGAGUAACGCGUAGGUAACCUGCCUGGUAGCGGGGGAUAACUAUUGGAAACGAUAGCUAAUACCGCAUAAGAGUAGAUGUUGCAUGACAUUUGCUUAAAAGGUGCAAUUGCAUCACUACCAGAUGGACCUGCGUUGUCUUAGCUAGUUGGUGGGUAACGGCUUACCAAGGCGACGAUACAUAGCCGACCUGAGAGGGUGAUCGGCCACACUGGGACUGAGACACGGCCCAGACUCCUACGGGAGGCAGCAGUAGGGAAUCUUCGGCAAUGGACGGAAGUCUGACCGAGCAACGCCGCGUGAGUGAAGAAGGGUUUCGGAUCGUAAAGCUCUGUUGUAAGAGAAGAACGAGUGUGAGAGUGGAAAGUUCACACUGUGACGGUAUCUGACCAGAAAGGGACGGCUAACUACGUG
rnacentral:rRNA from 1 species